CUUCUUUAAUGGAAAAGCCGAAGACACCGCUACACACGCCAAAGCGGCGGUGAUGAAGGUGAUGCCGUCCCCUAGAUAAAUCCGUGUUUCAGACGAUCACCAUAGAAACCGCCACUGAGGUGAACACGCAUGCCUACAAAAUACCAAACCCAUCCACACGCCGCAAGGGCGCACACACGUAUUAAAAUGCCCCGGCCCUGCGGCUGCGCAUGCGCAGAGGCAGACGCGAGAGUCAAGAGGGAUGUGUUUUCCGCUCCGUCUCCCGGCGGUGUUUGGUAAUGCUGCGUGCUCGGAGCAUGCGCGCGCAGGGUUCCGAGAGAGGGUCCGGAAGCGCUCGUGCGGGUCCAACCGUAGGGGGAGGAGGCGGGCCCGGCGCAGGCGCGGGUCAGCCUCGUCUCAGAGCGCUGUGGGGGGCGGUGGAGGACGCCAUCUUGGUGGUGCUGUGCCGGGGACUGCGGGCAGCGGGGCUCGGCGCGGAGCCUGUCCUGGUGGCGUGUCCGUUAAGUUGAUUUUACAGAAUUUAUCAGGUCUUCAAAGCAGAAACAGGUGAUUUU
rnacentral:lncRNA from 1 species